CUUAUUUUCCCUUGGCCCAAUUUUUGUAGAAAAACUCCCAUCCAUUAGCCGUUUCUCUCCCUCAUCUCCCUUCCAAGUUAGAUUUCUCCCCAAAUUAAACCUCAACCCUAAUCUUCGAUCCCUGACUCGGCGUCAAACACUGCCGCUGGACCGCCAUGCAUCGUCUCCGUCCCUCCGUCGCGUCUUCCUCCCACCAUUGCACUCCUUCCAUCGCUCAUAGUUCGCUGUGUCCUUCGCGACGUCGUCGGUGUUCGGGCACGACAUCACCGCCACCGCCAGCCGUCAAGGACGGGCAGCCGUCUUGCUGCUUCUGUUGUCGACUCCUCGGCGGGUCUGCAGAGCUGCCCAUUUCGCGAGGCAGCCUCGACAUUCACCGGCGACUCAGCACCGACUUCAUCGCAUAUCCGGCGUUCGCACAGCAUCUGCCGGAGUCAGCAGUGCUCGCCGUCGCCUCGCGAGACUUCUGCCGUCGCCGCUGAUUCGCUUUCGGUCCGAGACUCACGCCGCCGCUGCCGAUCUUCCUCAGCAGCAAGCCAUCGCGUGUCACGGCUGCCUUGCAGUCAACUUCCGGCUCAGUCGCCAAACGACCUUGCGUAAGCUAAGUUUCUCUUCUUCCAUCCCCUUCACUCAUUUCCUUGUAUUGUGGCAGUAGCCACAUGUUUAUCUAGUUUUUUUUUCUGAAUUUUGGAAGUCUACGAUCUAGAUGAUGUUCGUAUUUGAUCCUGUGGGGACUUGUUAUUGUAGCUAUUUGGUGGGUUUGAAGCAAAACUCCAUGUUGUGAUUCUACUAACAGGAUUAUCGAGCCUAAGUUUGUGUAAUGUCUGUUCAAGUGAUUAUUUCAUACGCUUGAAUACUAACAGUGGGUAUUGCAAGGUUCGAAAUUAGUUCUUGAGCAUCUAUGCUCCUAGGUUCUCAUGGUCUAGCUGUUUGCUUGUUCUAAAUGAUGCAAUAUGGUGUUAUGCGGAUUACCUCUUGUGAAGGUGAUGGGAUGGAGUUGCCGGUCUCUAGGCACGUUUAAGACCGAGCUCCCUGCUCAAAUCCCGAUUCUCCUUCGUGUUAUCUAUUGAAUGAGAAAUGUUGAAGUAUGGGGGAGUGGAACCGAGGGGAAUAGCGUGUAUAUAUGCUUAGUUUGUAACUGAAAGCUCUGUAAAGUUGUAAUUGAAAGCUCUGUAAAGUUGUAACUGAAAGCUCUGGUGGCCCUAGGUUAUUUGCCUUCUCUGCAGAGUGCAGGGAUGUACCCACACACAAUGUGUCCUUGUUCUGUUACACACUGCAGUGGCCUUACUCUAUUAGCCUUUGGUGCCGCCUCUAAUUUGAGUUUUCUGUUGUUAAAUUCCAGGUGCACAAGCAUAAGGAUGUGGCCGAGCUUUUUAUUCGCAGGCUGCUGCAGCGAAGGGAUUGGUUGGGCUACCUCGGAGCGGCCUUAGGUACCGGCAGGAAGGGCAGAUUUCUGCGGCUGUUGCAGAUCCUGGCUAUAUGCAUUUUUACUUCUUUCGGGAAUGGGCUGCCUACACACUGCUUAUAGCUCCAAACAUCUCAGCCCUUCGGCCUCUCUGAGUCUUGCCGAGUCGGCUUGUGAAAGAGACCGAUGAAGCCUCCUAGAAACUCUCGGUUGUAAUAGAGUAGCUCUAUUUAAAAUUCUCUCCUUUUCUUUAUCUCAACAUGUAUGUAAACUCAAUAAUAGUUGGUGUGUAUUUUAUUUGAAGCAUUUGUAAUUUAUUAGCUUGAAAUUCUAUGUAUUGUAUUUCUUUUACUCAAGAAAUAAACAAAUACUUUCAUUCUUUAUCAAA